CUCUGAUUGGAGGAGAAACGCAACGAGCUAAGUAGAAAGACUUUUCAUGUCCCAUGUCAGACGCUGGUUAAAAGGAACAAUACGUGACUGAUGCCCUCCGGUUCCCCCUCAGGAAGCUGCCUCAUGCUGCACUCCAUCAUCAAUAAAUCAACAUCACCCGACGUCGUAACCAGCAGGACGUGCGCCGGUCGUGGCUCACGGCGUUACCGCGGUGACUCCCUCGUAUCCGUGAGCCCGCCUGACUGUGGCCUGAUGUUAUGAAGCAUCAGAUUUCAGCGUCGCCAUCUUGGAUUACGGCGGUCGCCAUGUUGUUUUUACACAACCAGUGAACAGAAGUUACCGUAUUU